rnacentral:lncRNA from 1 species
AACAGAUGAACCCUCCGCUAGGGUUCUCAUUUCCCUUUGCCGCCGCCGCCAACAGGACCGUCCCACAGCUUCCUUUGUCGCCCCAGUCUCUGAUUGCGACGAAGAGGGGAAAGAUUCAACAAUACUAGGUAAAAUUUUCACCUCUUAAUCGUUUCUUUUUCCUUUUUUACACACAAUAAAUAAACAAAAAGAUUCAAAAAUAGAAACAAACAAUCGUUGCAAAAAAUCACCUCCAAUAUAUUGUUUUUAUAUUUUCUUCCCUUUUCUGUAUCAAUCCCUUUUCUCUUUUCAAUCCCCCCAUUUACAAAAAAGAAAACCCAUUUUAUCACUUUGUUAUCUUUAUGUUAUGCUAACGUGCUUGCGGUUUGUGGUUUGUUGCUGGAAGAUCAUGCAUAGUACGGGGCGACGUACUGCGAUGUUGAGGCGUGGGUGAUGUUGCUGUGGCUGCUGGUUUUGCUGCUAGAUGCUAGGGUUUCUAAAACUUUAGGCUAAUUGGGCCUUGUAAUUGGAUUAGGAUUGGCCAAAGUUUUAUUGGGUUUGAAAUUGUAUUUAGUUUUAGUAUUUGGUUUGGGCCCCCGGCAAUAAUUGGGUAUUACAGUAACCAUUGUAUUUUUCUUCAUGAAAAUGUUAAUUACUAACCCAUAGUUAUAAAAUCAUUUGUC